rnacentral:misc_RNA from 1 species
GUGAAUCAUCGAAUCUUUGAACGCAAAUUGCACUCUCUGGUAUUCCGGAGAGUAUGCCUGUUUGAGGGUCAGUUUUAAUAAAAAUCGGUGUGGUUGGUGCCUUUCGUUGUGACGCACGGGAUUGGGGUGGUGUUGCCUUAGGUUAAGUGACCUAAAAUUUGGUAUGAUUUUUUUCGAGAGUGUUUUAAUGAAUUUAUGUACGUUUGUGAUAGUGAUUAC